AUUGAACGCUGGCGGCAGGCCUAACACAUGCAAGUCGAACGAGUGGCGGACGGGUGAGUAAUGUCUGGGAAACUGCCUGAUGGAGGGGGAUAAAUACUGGAAAAGGUAGCUAAUACCGCAUACCAUCAGAUGUGCCCAGAUGGGAUUAGCUAGUUGUGGGGGUAACGGCUCACCAAGGCGACGAGACCUCGCUGGUCUGAGAGGAUGAACACCCACACUGGAACUGAGCCACGGUCCAGACUCCCACGGGAGGCAGCAGUGGGGAAUAUUGCACAAUGGGCGCAAGCCUGAUGCAGCCAUGCCGCGUGUAUGAAGAAGGCCUUCGGGUUGUAAAGUACUUUCAGCUGGGAGGCGUUACCCGCAGAAGAAGCACCGGCUAACUCCGUGCCAGCAGCCGCGGUAAUAC
rnacentral:rRNA from 1 species